UACGUAGGGGGCUAGCGUUGUCCGGAAUCAUUGGGCGUAAAGAGCUCGUAGGCGGCUCGGUAAGUCGGGUGUGAAACCUCCAGGCUCAACCUGGAGACGCCACUCGAUACUGCCGUGGCUAGAGUCCGGUAGAGGAGCGUAGAAUUCCUGGUGUAGCGGUGAAAUGCGCAGAUAUCAGGAGGAAUACCAGCGGCGAAGGCGGCGCUCUGGGCCGGUACUGACGCUGAGGAGCGAAAGCGUGGGGAGCAAACAGG
rnacentral:rRNA from 1 species